GGCGAAUCAAACUAAAGCCUUCAUUCAAAUGGUUAUUCAGCUUGGGCAUUCAUGGAGAGGAUGGGGCGGAUUUUACACAGGUAACAACAACAGAAAGGCCAGCCUGGACUUCAGCCACAACAUAUGUUGUAGAUGGAACCUUUGAUUUAUUUCUCAUCCCUUCAUCUGUGGAACAUGUUCUUCAUCUUCUUCCUUCUCUGGAUGCAAUCCCAUUGGGUGAAGCUAGGAGCCAGACAACAAGGUAAAAAGAACAGAAGUCUCGGUCAAGGAAUUUUUGACAGGGUUGACUCCAGACGGCUUUCCAGCUGGGGUCUGGGGCCUCGGUGAACCUUCAAAAUUUUCCCAUUUGAGCUGCAUCAAAGUGAAGGAAAUUCAAGGAUCACUAACGUCUCAGAUGGUAGCACUUGCCCUAACAACCAAGGUUCAGGAAUUCUUUGGAACAGGCUGAGGUCAUUUUUCUCCCCUUUUCUCCUAAUGCUUUUCUCUAUUAAUCAGAGCUCACCGCUCAGAUUGGUCUUCAACUUCCUCCCAAUCCUUGCUAAGCCUGUCAUUUCUAGCUAUUAUUUACUUUAAUGGACUUUGGCUGAUCCCUUAUGAAGCUUUGGAUCUGAGAAUAAUACGGCUGGAGAGUAACGGGCGCAGGCCUGGGUGUGGGUUUGCCUGCAGAUUAACCGUGGCAGAUGGGCUUUAUUGCAGCUUCCUGUGUGCCGAGUGCUGAUUGAGAGGGUAUAAUGAGAGAGGUGGUGUCAACACAAUGGAUGCAGCCACUUCAUUGCACCUUGCGUCUAAACAACCCUUUUUUCCUAAAUCUUUGGGUUGUGAAAUUUUAGGAAGUCAGAGCACAAGAACAAGCACAAAAACAACUGUAAAUAACCAUGAAUGUUAAUCCAAUGCUAAUUGGUCCCUUCUUUCAUUAUAGAUACAUUUUGUUUAGUUUUGUUUUUUAAAAAAGAGGAAAUUAAUGAUAUGGACAGUUAUAUGUAAUUGGACUUUUAUAUCAGCUUAAAUGCUAAUGCAGCCAUGUAGCAAACUUAAUUAUUAUUAUCUCAUUAAUUUCAAAGAUAAAUGUUUCCAGUAAAAGCUUCGAUCCCCAUCAUGUUGUCAUGUUCUAUGUAUUUUUGACACCUUGGGGAUAUAUAUUUUAAGGGAAAAUCAAUUAUGUAUUUUAUGAGGGGUUUUUUAAUGAUAGCAAGAAAAUUGCUUAAUUUCUGGCAAAACAUGUCACAAUCAUUUGUGCAUUUUAAAGACAAUAAACCAAAUGCAGU
ensembl:lncRNA